rnacentral:lncRNA from 1 species
GUGAUACUUGAAGGUGGGAAGAAGAGCCAGACACAGUCUGGGGAAGACAGGUGGCUGUCUGCGGGCAGGUGUCCAACUUGGGCAGUGGGCAGUUAGCCCCUGUAUAUCACUUUCCCCUACAAGCCCUGCCUGCAAGGCCAGGACCAGGAAGACAGAUGCUCUGCAGAGCAAAGUAGAAGAGCGGCUGGCUCACAACGUGGAGGAGACUUUCGGAGGCUGGAAGGAAUUUUACAGACUGGCUGCCUGUAGUUCCCGGUGAGCUGUUUCAUUUGUCAAGGUCCUGUGUUUCUUAUGUUAACAAGCGUGUUAGCAUCGCGUCUGUGUUCAGAGAGAGGUGCUGUACACUCUUCUCUGAGACCCAGCGCCCGGGACUCCAACUAACUGUGACCCAUAAGGCAGGAGACAGGCCAAGCCGGUGGAGAGGCAGAGGAAUGAGUAGAAGUCCGCACUGCUCCUGCGUGCGAGCAUCCUGUCGCCAGCUCUUGGUGUGCUCGUGGGUAGAGCUGGGGAAAUCUCGCUCUAGCAACUGAGCACGCGUCUCACCGACCCUUUCGGACGCGGCGGUGACU